UACGGAGGGUGCAAGCGUUAAUCGGAAUUACUGGGCGUAAAGCGCGCGUAGGCGGCUUGGUCAGUGGUGUGUGAAAGCCCUGGGCUUAACCUGGGAACUGCAUGCCAUACUGCCAGGCUUGAGUAUGAUAGAGGGAAGUGGAAUUCCAGGUGUAGCGGUGAAAUGCGUAGAUACCUGGAGGAACAUCAGUGGCGAAGGCGGCUUCCUGGAUCAAUACUGACGCUGAGGUGCGAUAGCGUGGGGAGCAAACAGG
rnacentral:misc_RNA from 1 species